rnacentral:rRNA from 1 species
UACGAAGGGUGCAAGCGUUAAUCGGAAUUCCUGGGCGUAAAGCGUGCGUAGGCGGUUUGUUAAGUCUGCUGUGAAAUCCCCGGGCUCAACCUGGGAAUGGCAGUGGAUACUGGCAAGCUAGAGUGUGUCAGAGGAUGGUGGAAUUCCCGGUGUAGCGGUGAAAUGCGUAGAGAUCGGGAGGAACAUCAGUGGCGAAGGCGGCCAUCUGGGACAACACUGACGCUGAGGCACGAAAGCGUGGGGAGCAAACAGG